GACGAACGCUGGCGGCGUGCUUAACACAUGCAAGUCGAACGGCAGCACGGGUGCUUGCACCUGGUGGCGAGUGGCGAACGGGUGAGUAAUACAUCGGAACGUACCUUAUCGUGGGGGAUAACGCAGCGAAAGCUGUGCUAAUACCGCAUACGCCCUGAGGGGGAAAGCGGGGGAUCGAAAGACCUCGCGCGAUUAGAGCGGCCGAUGCCUGAUUAGCUUGUUGGUGGGGUAAAAGCCCACCAAGGCGACGAUCAGUAGCUGGUCUGAGAGGACGAUCAGCCACACUGGGACUGAGACACGGCCCAGACUCCUACGGGAGGCAGCAGUGGGGAAUUUUGGACAAUGGGGGCAACCCUGAUCCAGCAAUGCCGCGUGAGUGAAGAAGGCCUUCGGGUUGUAAAGCUCUUUUGUCAGGGAAGAAACACCGGCUCUAACACAGUCCGGGAAUGACGGUACCUGAAGAAUAAGCACCGGCUAACUACGUGACAGCCGCCGCAGUAA
rnacentral:rRNA from 1 species